UUGUAGGCGGCCUUCGACCCGGCGCGGCGAGAACCGGCUCCAAUACAAGGCCCCAGAGUAGUGCAUGCAAAUCAACGACCCUCAAAGUGACAGUCAUUGUCAGAUAACAAGCACAAUCUGCUACAGUCUGUGACCUGGUAAAGAGACCACCUUUUCAUUUUGAGUCCCAUCACCAACUAUGCCAAUGUCCAACCUACCACACAGCUCACAAUGACUCAGAGGUACAUUUUAGUAUCUGAACAGCAAAGACAUAUUGAGCUGCAAGUACAAUGAGUAAGUAUCCUUAGUGUAUUAGACAGGGUAAAUACAAACAAGGCAUAAAAGGGAAAAGCCAACUUCAUCUGAUGCCUGAAUCCCUAAGUCUCUUCCAUCUUUUCUCAUGAUCUGUGUUUAGGGAGAUCUGCUAUGCCAUAUCAAGACCUUGCUCAUCUGGUGAUAAGACGGGGCUGUUUGCCUUGGAAGACUAAAGAAAGGGUGAAUAUUCACAUGAGGUAAGAACUUGAAGUUGUGGUUAUAAUACAUAGGCCAAGUUUGCCCUGCUGUCAACCCAUCUCUGUAACUCCAACUUUGUGCCUGCAUGAAUUCUGCGACAUGGUACAGCUGAUGGGUAGAGAAUUCUAACUCCUGUGAUGUAUUUACAGGAGAAGAUAAUCAUGGAAGAAUUAAAUGGAAGAAUUCAUAGAAGAAUACAGCCAUGGAUAAACUUAAUCAAAAGAAUAUGAUUUUAGUUUGGUUUAGUAUAUUCAGUCAGUCAGUUUUGUUUGUUUUUUGUGAGACGGAGUCUUGCUCUUGUCACCCAGGUUGGAGUGCAGUGGCGCAAUCUUGGCUCACUGCAACCUCCGCCUCCCAGGUUCAAGCGAUUCUCGUGCCUCAGCCUCCCUGAGUAGCUGGGAUUACAGGCGUCUGCCACCACGCCCAGCUAAUUUUUGUAUUUUUAGUAGAGACGGGGUUUCACCAUGUUGGCCAUGCUAGUCUCAAAUUCCUGACCUCAGGUGAUCCACCCGUCUCGGCCUCCCAAAGUGCUGGGAUUACAGGAGUGAGCCACUGCACCCGGCCGGGCCUUUAAAAAUAGUUUUAAAAAAUGUUUCUUGUGUGUUUUUCAAUGCUUUUAGUUACUUACAGAUUGCUACCUGAGGUGAUUUGAGGGAAGGGUAUGUUUAGUGAAUUAGUCUUAAUCAAAAUCACUAGCUAAUUAAAAGAGAAAUGUUCUCACAAGAAAAAUAAUUAUGAUGGAAAGCAGCAAUUAGCUUCUGGAACUACCUGCUUUUCAGUUCAUCCUCUUUUCAGAGAAAUGAGACCCUAAGCAGGGAGGAGCCUACUGGCCAUCUGAGAAACCCUCUAGAGUAACAGAGAAAUGUCAUGGGCCUCAGGGAAGAAAAGAGGCCUGUACCAGGCAACAUCUUAGAUGCCUGGUUGCCAACUUCUCAAAACAACCCAUAACAACCAGCAGGGUUGGUAACUGGCUGACAUUCAUUAACACACUCAUAUGGCUGUUUGUGAACAGAUCCCAAAUGCAAAGCGUCCUUCACAUACUUCUACCCACUCCCCGUCUCCACACCCCUAUACAAGAUCUUUUCAUUCAACCAAAAGGAUAAGAAAUGUGCUACAGAAAUGUGAACAUCAACACAAAUACAGAUUAUUUUUUCAUCAAGAGAGUUAAAACAUUCCCAUUAUCAAGAGGGGUCUUCACCAGAAUGUAACAAAAUGAAUUUCAGCUUUCACACCAGUAACCAGUGAAAGUAUGGCCUAGAGCUAGUUACACGGCAUAAAGUGACUAGUGGUCAGUUAUUGUUCAUUAGUUCAGAUGAGUAACUGCAGAAACUCUACCCAGAGCUGAGCACAUAUGGCUAUCAUGAUGUCAGAUGUCAGUUAAGAGUUAUGUUCCUGUAAACCAAAGCACCAGAGCUAAAUUAACAAUUUCCCUUUCUGGCCUUAAUUGACCAAUAGUUUAAGUACUGUGGUGCUACCAGCACGAUCCUGGGUUGUGCUUCUUCAAACAUUUCAGUUUCUUAAUACUAACAUUGGUAACAAAAUAUCUCAUCAGGGCGGGCACAGUGGCUCACGCCUGUAUUCCCAGCACUUUGGGAGGCCAAGGUGGCAGAUCACUUGAGGCCAGGAGUUCGAA
rnacentral:lncRNA from 1 species